UUUCCGUAGGUGAACCUGCGGAAGGAUCAUUACCGAAUUGUCAACACGAGUUGUUGCUGGUCCUCAAACGGGGACAUGUGCACGCUCUGUUUGCACAUCCAUUCACACCUGUGCACCCUCUGUAGUUCUGCAGCCUGGGGGCUCUGGCCCCCUGCCGUGGUUCUAUGUAUUUACACACACACGCUGUAACAAAGUCUCAUGGAAUGUAUACCGCGCUUAACGCAAUACAAUACAACUUUCAGCAACGGAUCUCUUGGCUCUC
rnacentral:misc_RNA from 1 species